rnacentral:rRNA from 1 species
ACGUAGGGGGCAAGCGUUAUCCGGAUUUACUGGGUGUAAAGGGAGCGUAGACGGCACAGCAAGUCUGAUGUGAAAACCCGCGGCUCAACCGCGGGACUGCAUUGGAAACUGCUGGGCUGGAGUACUGGAGGGGCAGGCGGAAUUCCUGGUGUAGCGGUGAAAUGCGUAGAUAUCAGGAGGAACGCCGGGGGCGAAGGCGGCCAGCUGGACAGUAACUGACGGGGAGGCUCGAAAGCGUGGGGAGCAAACAG